AAGAGAUUGAUGUAGAUAUCUGUCCUAUCAAUAUUAGAUGGUGAGAUCGGGGCCUACCACUAUUCUGACAGGUAACGGAGGAUCAAAGUUCGAUUCCGGAGAGGGAGCCUGAGAAAUGGCUACCACUUCCAAGGAGGGCAGCAGGCGCGAAACUUACCCAAUACCGAAGCGGUGAGGUAGUGACCAGAUGUACCUAUAUAGACAGCAAACUGUCUAUCUAUUGGAAUGAGCUUAGUUUAGACUCCUAGGUAAUUAGCAAUUGGGGGGCAAGAACUGGUGCCAGCAGCCGCGGUAAAUCCAGCUCCAAUAGUGUAUACUAAAAUUGUUGCGGUUAAAACGUUCGUAGUCGAACUGAAAAAUGUAUCGCGUAAGCUGGAUACAUUUCAAAAUAGUUUAAGGAAAGUUAACAGAGACAAAAUAAGCUACAUUACUGUGAUAAAAGUUUAAGUGUUCAAUGCAAAUUACUGUUUAGGAAAAGAUAGCAUAGAAUAAUAAUAAUUGCGAAUAUUUCUUUCACAAUAGGAAAUGAUAGGGACAGUCGGGGGCAUUCGUACUUCAUUGUCAGAGGUAAAAUUCUAGGAUUUUUGGAUGACGAACGUAAGCGAAAGCAUUUGUCAGGAAUGUUCUCAUUGAUUAAGGACAAAGGUUAGGGGUUCAAAAACGAUUAGAUACCGUUGUAGUCUUAACUGUAAACACUGCCGACCAGGAAUAGGUGAAUGCAUCAUUUUAUUAGGUUUUGCCUGUACCUAAGGAGAAAUCAGAGUCUUUGGGUUCCGGGGGGAAUAUGGUCGCAAGGUUGAAACUUGAAGGAAUUGACGUAAGGGCACCACCAGGCGCGGAGCCUGCGGCUUAAUUUGACUCAACCCGGGAAAACUUACCAGGUCCGGACAUUAAAAGGAUAGACAGAUUGAAUUUCUUUUUUUAUUUUGUGAAUAGUGGUGCAUGGCCGCUCUGAGUUCGUGGGUUGACUUGUUAGGUUGACUCCAGUAACGAACGAGAUCUUCAUAAGCUAAUUUAGAACAUUUAUCUAAAUAAUCAUAACUUUUCUUAGUAAGACGAUUUCCAGUAAAGGAGGUAAUGGAAGUAGGAGGCAAUAGCAGGUCUGUGAUGCCCUUAGACGUUCUGGG
rnacentral:rRNA from 1 species